CCAGGCGCGUCCCGAGGCGGGCUGCCCUCUGCACAUGAGCCCCAGGCCAGGGUCUGCCUGGCCAAGCGCCCUGGAGCAGACGGUUCCCGCAGCCAGGCCACCAGCCUUGGCCGGGCCGCCCCAACAGCUUGAGGCAGGAGGAGAACUAGCAGCGAGGAGGAGCAGGCAGGUUCCUGCAGGCACAGGAGAGAGGGGCUGUGGCAGGCGGGGGGACCUGGCACUGCACUAAGGCAGCAGGGAGUACGCAGCUAGCCCUGUUCUGGGGUUUUUAUCGCUCUUAACAUCGUGUCCCACGUAAUUGUAACGGCUGGAAAGAGAACAAAGAAAUGACCUCUGCAAUCUUAGAUUCAUCGGAGAGGAAAGAGGCCCGCUCCCUCCCCGUGCAGCUGUUGCUGAGGAAAACUCCCCUUCUGAGCUCAAGCAAAGUCGGACACGUGUUCCCGAGCCACUCCUUCAUCACCACUGAGCCCAGCAAAGAGAUUUUCCUUCCUGGGGGACUACUGGCAUCCCCAGCACGACAGCAAUCCUUUACGCUGCCAAACGUGUGACUCAAAGCGGAAUUGUGAAUGCCAAAAAAGCAAUUGCAGUUAUGAGCCACCCUCCUGGAAAGAGUGGGUUAAAACCCCACAGUGACCCAGAUGAGCUCACCCGGGUUCCCCGUCCUCAGCCACCAAAACAAAGGGCACGUGUCCGCAUUUUGUACUCAUUUUGUGAAGAUCUGCUCUGUGAACUCUCUCACAAGGAAUACCACAGCACGUGGCUUAUUACCUCGGUGAUAUGAGGGGCUCUGGCACGAGAUGGGUGGUACGACGAGGUGCAGAUGUGCAACGGGUGUUCCUACUCUGCAGAGGGGUCAUGCUAAGCUCAGGCAUGAGCAGCUGUGUGCAAGUAACAGGAUCCACCAGGAAUUUUGGUGUUACCUUAGCGCUGGAGAGCACAAACACAAUGGGUGGGAACAGAGCGACUGUUGGGAGGAGACACGGCAACCUCAUGGCAUGGCCGCAGCCAGGCAGAACAGGCACUGGUGGGGUUUUCUUCAGUACAGGAGCUGAGCCACUCUGUCACUGCCCCAAUCCCAGCAGGACAAAGGCAGGAGGCUUGUCCACCAUCCUUGUCCAGAGAGACAAGAGUUUUGUUGUUUAGGAGAGACCCUGGAAGUAAAACACCUCUUGGUAUUAUGAAAUUAGCACUUUAAAGAGAAAAAUAACCCCCAGGCACAACCACUGCAGCUGGUCAGGAGCAGGAGACCCAUCCCAGGGCUGAAGGGAGCAUGGCCUGUAUCGCUGUGCCUUUCUUGUCCGGUGGUGACUGCCUGGAUCCAGUGGAGGAGCCAUGCUCACAGCCUUCCAGAGGGAUGAGGGAUGGCGUGAGCGCUGUGCUAACCCCUGUGGGUCCCACCAGCCCAGACCCCAGCCCGUACAGCCCCUUCGCUUCUCUCCUGCAGCUGUGGUGCAGGAAUGUUUUGCAGUGAUGAUUUUCAAGAGUUAACACGGCCUCUUCUGAAGGCAAAAGCAAACAUUUGUCAUUAAAACCUUUUAAUGAGAAAUGUAAUUAAGGAAUUCAGCCCCAAACCACCAAGUGAUUUGUAGCACUGGUGUCCGUUGCCAGCGCUGG